rnacentral:rRNA from 1 species
AUUGAACGCUGGCGGCAAGCCUAACACAUGCAAGUCGAACGAGUGGCGGACGGGUGAGUAAUGUAUGGGAAACUGCCUGAUGGAGGGGGAUAACUACUGGAACCGGUAGCUAAUACCGCAUACCAUCGGAUGUGCCCAGAUGGGAUUAGCUAGUAGGUGGGGUAAAGGCUCACCUAGGCGACUAUCCCUAGCUGGUCUGAGAGGUUGACCAGCCCCACUGGAACUUAGACCCGGUCCAGACUCCUACGGGAGGGAGCAGUGGGGAAUUUUGCACAAGGGGCGCAAGCCUGAUGCAGCCAUGCGGCGUGUAUGAAUAAGGCCUUCGGGUUGUAAAGUACUUUCAGCGGGGAGGCGUUACCCGCAGAAGAAGCACCGGCUAACUCCGUGCCAGCAGCCGCGGUAAUAC